rnacentral:rRNA from 1 species
UACGAAGGGGGCUAGCGUUGUUCGGAUUUACUGGGCGUAAAGAGCUCGUAGGCGGUCUGUCGCGUCGGCUGUGAAAACCCGGAGCUCAACUCCGGGCCUGCAGUCGAUACGGGCAGACUGGAGUUCGGCAGGGGAGACUGGAAUUCCUGGUGUAGCGGUGAAAUGCGCAGAUAUCAGGAGGAACACCGGUGGCGAAGGCGGGUCUCUGGGCCGAUACUGACGCUGAGGAGCGAAAGCGUGGGGAGCGAACAGG